rnacentral:rRNA from 1 species
AGUAUGUGGUUUAAUUCGACGCAACGCGAAGAACCUUACCAGCUCUUGACAUGUCCAUUAUGGGUCUGAGAGAUCAGAUCCUUCGGUUCGGCCGGGUGGAACACAGGUGCUGCAUGGCUGUCGUCAGCUCGUGUCGUGAGAUGUUGGGUUAAGUCCCGCAACGAGCGCAACCCUCACCUUUAGUUGCUACCAGGUUAUGCUGGGCACUCUAGAGGAACCGCCGGUGAUAAGCCGGAGGAAGCGGGAUGACGUCAAGUCCUCAUGGCCCUUACGGGCUGGGCUACACACGUACUACAAUGGUGGUGACAGUGGGAUGCGAAAGCGCGAGCUGGAGCGAAUCCCCAAAAGCCAUCUCAGUUCGGAUUGCACUCUGCAACUCGAGUGCAUGAAGUUGGAAUCGCUAGUAAUCGUGGAUCAGAAUGCCACGGUGAAUACGUUCCCGGGCCUU